GGCACAUUAAGACACACACAAAAGAGAAAUAUAGGUUCAAAAUUGGUUAUUAUUAUAAAUUACUCGCUGACAAGAACAUGCAUGAAUUUAUAUGAACUAAGUAUUUAUCACGAUUAAUUUCAGAGUCCAAGCUCACUUAAAAGUUGUUGUACAGAAAUUUUGUUCUCGGCAUCAGCAGGGCGGUUUAAGGUGACAGCUUCUAGAUUGUAGAAAUGCAUAAACACUCGAAACACCUGGAGUGUAUUCCAUAUUUAGAAC